GACAUAGCUCAGUUGGUUAAAGCACUGUGCUGAUAAUGCCAAGGUUGCAGGUUCAAUCCCUGUAUGGGACA